GGUGGACGCUGGCGGCGUGCCUAAUACAUGCCAGUCGAGCGAACAGACGAGGAGCUUGCUCCUCUGACGUUAGCGGCGGACGGGUGAGUAACACGUGGAUAACCUACCUAUAAGACUGGGAUAACUUCGGGAAACCGGAGCUAAUACCGGAUAAUAUAUUGAACUGCAUGGUUCAAUAGUGAAAGACGGUUUUGCUGUCACUUAUAGAUGGAUCCGCGCCGCAUUAGCUAGUUGGUAAGGUAACGGCUUACCAAGGCAACGAUGCGUAGCCGACCUGAGAGGGUGAUCGGCCACACUGGAACUGAGACACGGUCCAGACUCCUACGGGAGGCAGCAGUAGGGAAUCUUCCGCAAUGGGCGAAAGCCUGACGGAGCAACGCCGCGUGAGUGAUGAAGGUCUUCGGAUCGUAAAACUCUGUUAUUAGGGAAGAACAAAUGUGUAAGUAACUAUGCACGUCUUGACGGUACCUAAUCAGAAAGCCACGGCUAACUACGUG
rnacentral:rRNA from 1 species